UUCAGGAGGGGGGGGUGCUCAGGCCCUAAGUCCCCUCCCUCCACCUUGCUCAGGGCUCUGGGCCUCAGGGGCAGGUGUCUCACAGUGUGGAGGUGCAGGCCAGGGGAGGCUCAGUGUGAAGGACACAUGCCCUGUGCUGAGUUCAAGGCCACUCUGUGGGCACUCAGUCAGUGACAGGCAUUGCUGAUACCACGUGAUAAACCAAGAGAAUCCCCCAGGAUGAAUGGUGACCACCCUGUGUCUCCCCCAGGAGCAGCUGCACAGGAGCUGCAGGUGAUUCAGCCUGAGAAGUCAGUGUCUGUCGCUGCUGGAGAGUCGGCCACUCUGCACUGCACUGUGACCGCCCUGCUCCCUGUGGGGUCCAUCUGGUGGUUUAAGGGGGCAGGGCCAGGCCGGGAGUUGAUCUACAACUUCAAAGAUUGCCACUUCCCCCGAGUCACAAAUCCCUCAGAUGCAACAAAGAGGGACAACAAGGACUUUUCCAUCUGCAUCAGUAAUGUCACCCCAGCAGACGCCGGCACCUACUACUGUGUGAAGUUCCAGAAAUCGACAAGUCUGGACCAGGCACCGAGUUGUCUGUGCAAGGAAAAGUGAAUUGUAAUCUUGCUUCAUACCUCAUAGCCCUGUUACUUGGACUCAAGACCCUAAUGGCUGUCAGUGUCUUUGCCAUUUACGUCCACAGGAAACAGAAGUCCUGACUAUCCUUCACCAAGCCCUGCUGCCUGGGACCCUCAGUCUUUGCCACCUUCUUCCUGCUCCACGGUGCUCAGUCUGAGAGAAGGAGCUGCCCAGAAGCCUCUGUAGACUGUUCCAAAUGUCUCCUCCCAGGACACCACCCAACCCACAGGCCCCUAUUGUGCCUCUGCCCAGUCCUUGAUGCCCCAGGCUAAGCCUGCACUCAUGGUCCUGAGCAGGGCCCUGGGACCUGCCUCUGGACAGCAACUCAUGAUCCCUCCCCAGAAUGUGACAAGAAAGCCCCAUCUGACCGCAUCAGGAUGGCUCUCCUCCUUUGCCUUGGGCUCAGCCAUCAAGCACCCCAAGUCCUCGCUCUCAAGAGUCAUUCUACCUUCUUUUUCCUGCCUACCCUUGCUCCCCAGCCUUGUUGAGGUGCAAGGUGUUGAGGUUCUCAAAGGAAACUCAUAAUUAUUUAAUAAGAAUAAUUCUCAUUCUCCUUUACAUAGAUGUCCCAUGCCUCAAAGCCAGGAAAAAAAGUUUGCCUUAAUCUGAGUGGUUUUCUUCCUCAGCACUUAUUAAUAAUAGCAUUAUACUGGAUGAUGGCAGUCCUUGUUGUCCAUAGAAACCCUGGGCCAUCUCCAUGGAGAUUAAGAAAAACAGUGAUUGUUCUUGCACAUUCACAGUUUUUUUCAGAAUAUUAAAAACUCUCAUUAUGUCAGUUAAAUGUCAGUUUAAAUGUAUAGGGAAAUGUAAAUAAUAAUAAGAUGAGCACUUAGUGUACUGUAAGUGGAAACAUUAGAAACUGAGUGGUAGUGUUGUUUUUCUUUGUAAAAAUUUAUCCAGAGGAGUCUGAAGAGUGUCCAUCUUGUUCUUCUUUAAAAUAUAAAGCAAGCAUCUUCUCUGCCUUGGGGAAUUAUCAGCCCCUUUAACACCAUCACCCUUUUGGUCACCACCACUCCCCUGGUGUAUGUGGGUAGCUUCACCUUCACUAGGUUCCUCCGUCUGCCAAAGGAAAGUCCCCAUGUGGGAUCCAUGUCCACACACCAUAGCCAGCUACUUCUAUCCUGACUCCACUUGUGUCCAGUGUGAAUCUCACUUCCAGCAUUGUCACCUCUCCUGUCCUUUCAUGUCUGUUGGCAAGUCCCUCUUUCAAUUUUUCAUUUCUGGAAAAUGUCAUGUGGGUUCAUUGUUGGGAGACAAGGAAGUCACAUGACAAUCAAGCUCCACUGUCUGUGUGGAAACUGAGUGAGACAGUCACAGGACGGAUCCAAGAGUCAACAGUGACGAGUCACUGAAGAGGAGGACCAUUUGGUGUCCCCAUAAUGGUCUGUGGAUGAAAGAGCUAGUGUGGAAUUUGCUCUAUGCAAUUGCAGUAAACCUACAGUGACAUUAAAUUUGAGCCAUGUAUUGGGGGAUUUGUGCUAUUUAAUUAAACUGUUACAACUAAAAUUCAUGCAUAUCAGCCCCAAAGUGAGAACUGCCUGUUUUUGCUUGUCUGUCUUCCUCAAAUAGAAUGUGAGUUCUAACAGGGAAUGGACCAUCUAAGCCUCCAUGUCUAGGUCAGUAACUGCAAUGUUUUUUUCAAACAGUUUUCAAAUUUUUUAAUAAAUGAAUAAAAACAUUA